rnacentral:lncRNA from 1 species
GCAAACACGGGGCUAGGUAAGAGUACAGGACUAGAUGGGUUCGAGGUGACCACAUGGCGGGAGAACAACUGUCCCAUAAAUCUAGGACUCCAAAAGGCUACGUGAGCAAUAAGAAGAGUCAUGAUGGGCAAGACAACAAGGCUGAAUGCUGGAUGAAGCAGUAUUUCAACUACACAGGAAAGGAAGCGACCUCAACUGCAGGAGCCUUGGUUAGUCCCUGCUGGCCAGCAGAUCCCACCACAGCAGCAAAUUCAGGGCAACUGUCUACAUACAUUGCUCUUGUACUGCUGAAAUAAAACUGCUCUGUCCCCGC